rnacentral:lncRNA from 1 species
GAGGGGACAAAAGAGGCGGUCCCGAUGGUAGGUGAGGGGAUACCGGAGAUCGAGAAGGUGUUGCGUGUCGGAGCUGGUGGUCAGCAAGAGGCCGAGGGCACCAUUACAGUACGUCGUUUCUCCGUUUAUCACGAAAACGAAGAGGAGGAGGUUCGUCGACGGCAUGCACCCCAAUUUAUUCAGGGAGGUGGACCACGCCAAGUGGAAAGAGUUCGAAACGGAGUGGAGAGAAUUUACGUCUGGGUAAGUAUUAUAUUAUUCAUUAAGGAUUAGUACAUUAUGCAGAUGCUGACACAUCUAUAUUUAACAAUUUCUUUUCUUAUUUUUUCAAAGCCAGCCGCAAGAUUGCUCAUAAGACGAUUUCGGACGCUUACAAGUGUUUUUACGACAUCACUACUUCGAGGGCUUGGCUUGCCGACGAUAUAAGUGAAGUAGUAAUAUUGUUAUUUAUUACGUAUACAUAUUUUUGAGUUUUUGAAUUUAUGAAAUUAAAUAACUCCUUUUUUAAUUGGUGUUUCCUUAUACAGCACAUUGACUUCGCCAUGGAUUUGCUACGAGAUUGAGCUGAAAGUCAUCCAAGAUUGUUCAACAUUCCUGGCCGACUCAUAUUGAACACUGAGUUCAUACGUGCCGUUGACAUUGAUUACAGAUGCUCCAAGCUAUGGUUAGCGAGUACACGAUGCCUACAUACAUGAUGGAGUGGGUCGUAGGGAUGUGGCCGAGUGUCAGGAGAUAGCCAUGGGAGGGUUGUACGCAUCUGUAUAUCCCGGUGUGUGUGAAUCAUCACUACAUUACAGUGGAGAUUGUAUUCGCCGAUUCAACUAUGUAUGUGUAUGACCUCGAUCAUUCAUUCCCGACACAAGGUCAAUUCGAGAAAAAUUUGGAGUCGGUGUCUGUGAUCGUCCCCAUGCCGGCUAGGCGAGCGAACAUCACUGUGCAAGAUAGACUGGCCACCGUGCGGGACACGACGGCGGCGAGACAGCAAAUAUCGUAAGUGUUUGUUAUUUUAUUUUUUAAUUUACAACGAACGUUCUAGUUAGAAGAUAAUGUGCUACUACAAUAUUUUGUAAUUAUAGGGGUGAUUACGACAUGUUCGUCAUCAAGUAUAUAGAUUUUUUGAGUGUACCACAGAAGGUUGAUGCAAUCAACCAGGCACGGAUACAAAAUUGGAUAAAUAAAUUAGCUUGUGAUUUAUUUGAAUUUAAUGGUGAUCCAUAGAUAUUGGAGCCGCAUUUUUUAAAAUAAUUGUACAUAU